CGCCCUGCCAGAGGCGCGGGGAAGAGAUCCGUGGUUGGCUCACAAGUAAGAAAGUAAGCAAAAAAAAAGGUGUUUAAAGUGUGCAGCAGCUCUUUGCAUGAAGAAAACAUGAGAGAUUGGAAGCUCGUAAUUUGAGUUCGUUGGUGCAGAACUGCAGAAACACAGCUAAUCAUUUAUUAAGACCGCCUUGACGUUUCCCUCAGCUCAGGCUCCGGACGCGCAGGCUCAGCGGCCAUGGCUCCCGGGCCCAGCCGCUCCGCGGCAUGUGGGAUCUUCCUGGACCGGGGCACGAACCCGUGUCCCCUGAAUCGGCAGGCGGACUCUCAACCAGUGCGCCACCAGGGAAGCCCUGCCUGUUUAACUUUGACAUCAGUAACACGGAACUUUGGUUUGAGCAGAUACAAACACACACCAGACCAGAAGUCAAAUGAAAACAACUGGUUACCCAAAGUCCCACCUGAUGCCCUGACACACACCUCACUGGAGAGAGAAGGUGGGACUGUCUAUACCCUGAAGUCCAAAAAGAAAAAGAGUUCAAUAUGAAAAGAGAAUACAAACUGAUCACAAAACCAGGCAGUCAAGAGAAUGUACUAAAGAGCUCAAACGUGAAGGCGGAAUUGGAAUGUCAGAGGACAACUAAAGAGCAACAGUUCAAGAAUAAGAAGGAACAGUGUUGUUGCGGUAGGUACCACAUAACCAACUAGGAAUAUGAAUAAAUAUUAGGGUUAAAUAUCUAAAAGAAAAUGACCAUGUAAAUGGGCUAUGUUUCCUGAGAGGAAAGAAACAAGGUGAGCCCCACAGUUUCCCUGGAUCUCUGCCUGGGGAAAAUUUCCCAGCUAUAGUGCAUCAACCUGGAGUUCAAUCAGAAUGUGCAAGUCUCUCUUAUCUGAAGAGGCAGAGGUCAGAGUUCUGGGCUUUUGAAGUGGUUGGGAUCUGUGGACUAGGGCAUUAAGAGAAGGAGUCUGUGGAGGUCAUGAAGUUCAUGUGGUGGUUUCCCACACACCCUUGACUGAGAGCUGGGCAGUACCACCAAACACAGCCACACAAAGUUAAUAAGAGACUGGCUGUUACAGAGGUAAGAGCAGAACAGAGAGAUUAGACAUUAAGCAGUGCUGGGAACUUCGAACUUAGGGCCCAGACUUCCUGAAUAGACCCUUUAACACCUCCUAACAAAGUGGGAAUCAAGCUGAAUCACUGCUUUAUGAUAAAAGCCACACCCAGAGAAAGGCCCUGUUUAUACCCACUUUAACAAAGCUUAAAACCAAGCCCUAACGAGAUUCUUAGAGGAGACAGAGUUUUGAGAUUGGAUCUCACCAAUUUACAGGGACUUGGAAAACAGAUAAACAGAAAUUAUACAGUCUCAAGAACAGAGAUCUAAAAAGAUUCAAGAAAAAAUGAACAAACCCCCUUGAACUUAUGGACCAAUAUUACACAGUUUAAUAUAUAUGCAUUGGAGCUCCAAAAGAAAAAACAUUAUAAUGAGGCAAUAAAUAUUUUUGAAAAAUGAUUGAAAAACUUUCACUUACAGUUCCAAGAAGGUCAGAUUGCAGUUAGCAAGAUAAAUACCAAGAAAACUGCAUAUAGGCAUAUCAGAGUCACACAGAGAGUCACAGAUAUCAGAGUCCAAAUUAGAACAUCUUGAAAGGAGCCAUAGAAAAAAGAUGCAUUCAUUACAGAAGAACAAUAAUAUAUAUGAAGGCAGAGUUCUCAUCGGAAACAAUGAAGACCAGGAGCGGUAGCAUCUUUAAGGUGCUAAAAAGAAAUUAAAAAGUUAUCCAUCUUGAAUUAUAUAUCCAGUAAAAUUGUCUUCCAAAAAAUAUGGCAAAAUAAAGAUAUUUUCAGGCAAGUGAAAGCUGAGGAAAACUCAUUUCAAACAGACGGCACUACAGGAUGUUUUUCAGGCUGGAUGGAAGUGAUACAAGAUGGAAAUUUCGAUUUACAGGAAGGAGAGAAUGGCAAGUGGAAAUGGAAAAUCACUGUGUAAAUACAAAGACCAAUUUUUUAAUUCUCUUCUAAUUUUCUUAAAAAGAAUUUAAUGCUUUGUAUAAGGCCACGUUUAUGAUGCAUGUACAUGUAAAAACAUGGCAAUAGAGCAUAAAGGUAAAGGACAAGGGAGGUAAACUAAAUGGAAAUAUACUUUCCCAUUUGUGAAGUAUGACAUGUGACAUGUGAAGUUUGAAAUGUCAGAUGUGAAGUGGGAUUAUGAAGUAGGAAACUCCUAAGGUUAGAAGUGGAAUGUUUAUAAGUAGAAUCAUGCUGUUGUAAGGCUAUAACAUUUGUGAAAUAUGAGGUGGGAAAUGUCAGGUGUGAAGUGGGGUUUAUGAAGUAGGAAGCUCCUAUGAUUAGAAGUGAAAAUUGAAGUGACACAAUAUUGAUGCUAAAUAGGCAUUGUUAAAAUAAUAAUAAGGAGAAAUAUCGUUAGACUUACAGCAACCAGCCAAAAAUAAUGAAUAGAGUUAUAUCUAUGGAAAGAUAAUAUAAAUAUAUAGCUACAAAUAAAAAUAUAUCUUUGUCAAGUAUUUCUUACAGUGGAUCAUGAAGAUGGCAUUUUUUCUAAUAAUAAAAGUGAUACGUUGAUACUAUUGAAGUUUAGAAACUUACAGUUUAAAGAAGCAAUAAUUCUACCACCCUGAGAAUUUCCUUUAUUCCAAUAUUAUAUAUGUGCCUGUAUGUAUGUAUAUAUACAUAUAUAAUUUUUUGCUUGUAUAUUUAGUCCAAUAAGUAUAUAUAAUUUUUAUUCUAUUUUUAUAUUUAUGUCAUAAAUAAUAUUUUGUCUCAAAUAUCUUUGUAAACAUGAAUUUUAAUGAUUUAUUAUAUGUAAUCACUACGUUGGACAGUUUCCCUUUAGCUGGAGCACUGUUAUGAAAAAUAUCACUAAAGUAUUAUUUUAUUUAAAUAUUUUCUGCAUCUCUGCCAGUGAAUUAUUUCUUAAGGGAAUAUAUGCCAGUGACCUCAUUUUAGGGUUUUAGGUAGACAGAGUCUCUCUGUCUUAAAGAUUUAAAAAAUAAAUUUGUUGUGUCAGUUGUUUGAAAAGCAGAAGUGGAUAGAGCUGAGGCAAUACUAAAUGGUGAAUGGUCUCAUAAGCUGUAACUGAGCACCCAAUCCAGUGAAUAAUAACUGUGGGAAGUAAACCCAAGACUGUGGUCUAAGUACAGGCAAGAAUACAGGAGGGUGAUGUCUGAGAGUGGAGCCAGUAUGGAGUAGGGUGAUAACACCUUUGCCUCCCAUUCAUUGCCAUCAUCACUUGGGAGAAGGUAAGGCCUCAUUGAGGAGGGUUAUAUUAAUUAACAUUUCAGCCUGUGCAGCAGUUUAGUGUUCCUAAGGUGAGGGAUAGUCUAUUGGCAAUGAACCUAAAAGGAGAAGUCAGUGUCAGGCUUGAGGGGAAAAUAGAGAUUAUUUUGUGAGACAAGGCAGUUAUGACUGGCUUUAUAUGUGCACAGUAUAAUCUUCCUUAGCACAAGUGUCACCAAGUGGGUUAAAAACUGCAUUUAUGGGGCAGUGGGAAUUUACUGAGGCAUGAAGAGACAUUGGGAUCAUAGGGUCAUGAAGUUUAUAAUCUGUAACAGAUAUGUCUGCAACUGUCUUCUCUAGGGCCUCUUCAGUGCAAUAUAGGGUGGUGGUUGAUAUUAGUAGGGCAGGGGAGGAGGUGCAGUUUAUGUCUUAAAGCUGAGAAACAGGGCAGGCACCUCAGAAAAUAACCAAAUUCACCAAGGCAAUUAAAUAUGCAAGCCUUUGUGAACAGAUCUUGCCAUUCUUUGAUAGAGCUGAAGCCAGAUUUAGAAUUUGUUGGAGACAAUAUACUUGUGUUUUUAAUUCCAGAAAGAGCAUAUGAUAUUGGGAUAGUAAGCAUUAUAUCUUAAAAUGGCUCAUUAAUUUGGAAGGAUAUACUUGAUGCCAUGUAAAAGAGAGAAGUGCUUCCUAAUGAUCAGUUGCUUCUGUAUGAUGAAAACCGACUAGUUUUUAAAUAUUUUUAUUUAAAUACUUUAAAAAUAUUUUUAAAUUUUUGAGAAAUAUUUAAAAAUUUUAAAAUAUUUUUAUUUGAACAGAUACUAAAUUUAUAUGGUUCAAAAUUCAAAAUGUACAAAAGGAUAUUUACUGAAAAACUGUCUUCCAUCCCUAUUUACCAGAUAAACAGUUCCUCUCUCAGAGCCUAAAUAUUUUCAGUUUCUCAUGCAUUUUCCAGUGAUAAACAUAUGUAUACAAGUUAUAUAAAAGUGUCCUUUUUAACACAAAUGAAAUGGUAGUGUUCUUUACAUACAGUUUGGUACUUUGCUUUUCCGUUGGUGUUAUUUUUUAAAAUACCUUGGAGAUCUUUCCAUAUCAGUACAUCAUGAAAUUUAUCAUACUGUUUUAUUCAGGGCUGAAUUGUGAUUUUUGUGAGCCCUAGGUUCUUUUGCCUUCUUUGACCCCUUUCUCCAUAAAUA